rnacentral:lncRNA from 1 species
AUGGUGAAAACACAUUUUCCAGUAUGGCCUGAAUGCUUUCUAUGCACCAGCUAUAGACCUUCUGGUGCCCAGGACUGCUGUUUAGCGGGAAGAGAUUGUAAUUCCAUCCUCUGCCAUUCGUCAUCAGUCAUCGAUGACUUCAUCCUGAGACUCAGUUGAUUCUCUCUCCAAAACACAAGUAAUUUUAGUUACCGAAUUCUAUGAGGUUACCAUAUUCACAGUCUCUUAGUGUCAGCUUUUCUUGUAUAUUGACUAUGACUAAACUAAGCUAGUUUAAACUCUAUCUUCCUGUGUUCCAAAUGUCCCACACGACAGUCCCUGCUCAGCCGUGCUGCAGCAUAACAUGAUACUCUGCUGCCAUGUGUGUUUCCAGUAUAAGGCCACUAUACCUCGGCUCCAAUUUGACCAAAUUCAGCUGCUUCCAGAACACACUAUGACAAAUUAGAGAAAGUCUAUAAUCAGCAGAGGAUUUUUGUGGCUUGCAAAGGCACCCCAAAUUGCCAGUAAUGAAUAUUCCAUAAGCAAGAAGGCUUUUUUAGCUCCAAAUGCUAUUAGGGAAGCAAAGAUUCUGUGAAAAAUACUUAUUUUGCUAAAUACUUUUGAACUUAGCAAAUGACUUCAGAGAUUAAGCAGAAAGACUCCAAGCAAGAGUGCCAUUU